rnacentral:lncRNA from 1 species
UAAAUAUAUAUUUAUGGGGAGAUUUUUCUCCCCAUCUUUUUAUUCUUUGUCAUUUUUCAAUUAAUAUGACAUUAGUUGAUAUAAUUUCGGAUUAAUUGUGUAUUAUCGUUUCAUAUUAAAUAUGAAUUUUUAUGUUUAAGGUUUUAUUUACAAAUUUUUUUUCUUUCAAUUUUAUGAUUUUAAAUAAAUGACGUGUUUUUUGUCAGUGUAGUUUUCAUAUCAAAGACAUUUUGUAACAAAUCAACCUCAUAUUUGGCUGUGUAUGUAUCGUAUGUUUAGGGUAUCUAUCUGUAUGUAUUAAAUUAUGAUUGGUUUGUGAUUAUCAGUUAGUGUGAGUCUUGAGACAUAUGUCACACCUAUUCAUUUACAUUUAUACAAGUCAUACAAAUGUUCUUCCCAUGGUAAUGGCAUGACAGGAGAACUUGACAUUGUAAAUAAUUAACAUCUUUCUGAGGCAAAAAUAUCUAAUUCCAACAAGCAUAAAUACCACAAGUAACAUUUAUAUAUUAAAAUGCAGUAAAUUACUAUGUCGGAUGAUAAAUAGAGCGCAAGCAAUCCCAAAUUAAAACAGGACACUUCAUAUAAAAAGGUCAAAUAGUUAUCAAAGGUA